AUUUGCGUCGCGUAAUGCGUAAGAAACGAAUAUGAAUUUUCUGUAUCGAGUUAUGAUUUAUACAAUGUUACAGUAUCUAUUUUAAGUUUCAGAAUCGACUAAUGCGUGCUUUUAUUGCAGGAACAAAUAAAUAAAUAUGUAAGUAUGUAUAUAUGUACAUAUAUAUGAUAUUUCUGUAGCAAAGUAGGUUAUGUUAAUUGCCAGAAAGAAUAUUGUGUUUUUAGUUUUAUAAUCGGAUGAUAAUUCUUCAGAUUGAGAUAAUUUAACACCCCUUUGUGCGUUAAGUGUGGUCAACAUUUAAUUAUUAUCGCAGUAUAUCGUUUAUUAUCUUGUUCGUGAUCUGACGCAAAUAGCACGAAACAGUAUUAGUGACGGUACGUGACAUAUUUUAAUUUUAAGACCUUGUGAUAUGUGGAUAGUAAAAGAAAGGAAUAAAAUUCCUUAAAAUAACAAUAUGGUUUGUUUAAAAAACACAGAAUUGUUACUACUGUGUCUCAAGGUAGAAGUUGAAACAUUUGCAGAUUAAAAUGCAUCUAAUAUAACCUGUUAUACGAAUCUAUAUAUUUCAUUGUUUUAAGGUGUUCGCCAGUAUCAUAUCAGAUGACGCAUCCAUUGUAACCAUAACGUUAAUCUUGAAUCAAAGUGAAAUUGCGUGUUACGACUUUAUUUUUACGAUAACCACAGUUCAGAUAAGUUAAGAGUGAUAUCAGCUCCAUCAAUUGGAAACGAGAUGAAACAGGAGGCAAGUAGCGAGAAGUAAUUUCCCGAAACAUUCGCGGAACACUCGAUCGUUCGGUGCGUCAGUUUUUAGGGGAUUAAUCUACAGCAGAUUAAAAAUCACCAGAUUAGAAAGUAAUUUAAUAAAUCUGGAAGUCACUCCUGACACUUAUGUGUAUACAGCUGUAACUAUCAAAUUUGACUUCGGCAAUUUUUGGAACGAGUAAACUAUGGACUCUUAAGAGAGUGUACGAUCAAUUUAAAAUCAUACUGUCUUCAGUUGAAUGCAAGCACCACGAAACCACGCAUGGUUCGCGUCAAUGUCAAAAACAAAGCAGAAUUUCAAGCCGCAUAUCACCCACUGGCCCAAUUCCGAGCAAAAACACUAAUCCAUACAUAAACGAACGUAACAUUAACCAUAGUGUGCAUUCGCCGUUGCACGCGCUAAAACGCUUGCGGGUAAUCCGCAAAAUGACGACCGCCUAAUUGCACAAAGAACGUGGCCGAAGCUUGUCCAAGGUGUGCACACGCGUAAGCAAAGGCAAAAUGCACGAGCCGCGACACGACGAUGCAACGAGCCCUGUCGUCGUUCCACUUCCUCUAAAACAUCGCGACCGCACAACGCUAUUAUAUCCGUCGCGGUGUGCCGAGAAUCGGAGCUGGGGGAUGGUACCCGGUGCCAGAUUGCGCUAAUUAAUGCUAAUUGCCCGAACUAAUAAAUAACUGCAUGAAUAAACAUAUUCGUAGUCUCGGUGGUGAUGGUGGUGGGGGACGGGAGUAGAACCUGUAGGACAGAGAGGAGGAGAUAGGGAUAGGUGGUGGGGUAGAGACUAAUAGAGGAAACUGAAGAGGC